rnacentral:lncRNA from 1 species
AUAACACCCCUGUCCAAGUCCUAUAGAGAAAAAAAAAAAUCCCUACUUUUGACUACAGUUACACAGCAGAUCCCAAAGAGCUUUGUAGUAGUUUAACGUACUACAACUUAUCAGAAAGAUGAGGCACUUGACAGUUACAUUAAGGAGCUAAAGUCAAUACGGCAGUUGUAGAUUUGCUAAUGCCACUGUAUUUUUCUGCUCAUAGCAUGGACCCAUUCAUAUGACUAAUUUAGGUACAGGCUUCUCCAGUCAGAAUGAGAUUGAAGGUGCAGGAUCGAAGCCAGCAAGUUCCUCAGGCAAAGAGAGAGAGAGGGACAGGCAGUUGAUGCCUCCACCAGCCUUUCCAGUGACUGGAAUAAAAACAGAGUCCGAUGAAAGGAAUGGGUCUGGGACCUUAACAGGGAGCCAUGGUGAGUGUGAUAUAGCUGGGGGAACAGGGGAGUGGCUAAGACUGGUCUAAAGCUAUUAGUUUUCUCAGCCGGGCGCAGUGGCUCACGCCUGUAAUCCCAGCACUUUGGGAGGCCGAGGUGGGCAGAUCACCUAAGGUCAGGAGUUCAAGACCAGCUUGGCCAACAUAGUGAAAUCCCAUCUCUACUAAAAAUACAAAAACUAGCGGGCA